rnacentral:rRNA from 1 species
GAUGAACGCUAGCUACAGGCUUAACACAUGCAAGUCGAGGGGUAACGAGAGGAAAGCUUGCUUUCCUUGUCGACGACCGGCGCACGGGUGAGUAACGCGUAUCCAACCUGCCCCCAACUAAGGAAUAACCUUGCGAAAGUAAGACUAAUACCUUAUAAUUUCCUCAGAUGUCAUCUGACGAGGAAUAAAGAUUUAUCGGUUGUGGAUGGGGAUGCGUCUGGUUAGCUUGUUGGCGGGGUAACGUCCCACCAAGGCAACGGUCAGUAGGGGUUCUGGAGGGAAGGUACCCCACAUGGGACAGGAGACACGGUCCAAACUCCUACGGGAGGCAGCAGUGAGGAAGAUUGGUCAAUGGGCGGAAGCCUGAACCAGCCAAGUAGCGUGCAGGAUGACGGCCCUAUGGGUUGUAAACUGCUUUUAUACAGGAAUAAAGUGAGCCACGUGUGGUUAUUUGUAGGUACUGUAUGAAUAGGGACCGGCUAAUUCCGUGCCAGCCGCCGCAGUAA